GGUUUGUCGCGUUGUUCGUGAAAUCUCACGGCUUAACUGUGAGCGUGCGGGCGAUACGGGCAGACUUGAGUACUGCAGGGGAGACUGGAAUUCCUGGUGUAGCGGUGGAAUGCGCAGAUAUCAGGAGGAACACCGGUGGCGAAGGCGGGUCUCUGGGCAGUAACUGACGCUGAGGAGCGAAAGCGUGGGGAGCGAACAGGAUUAGAUACCCUGGUAGUCCACGCCGUAAACGGUGGGUACUAGGUGUGGGUUUCCUCCCUUGGGAUCCGUGCCGUAGCUAACGCAUUAAGUACCCCGCCUGGGGAGUACGGCCGCAAGGCUAAAACUCAAAGAAAUUGACGGGGGCCCGCACAAGCGGCGGAGCAUGUGGAUUAAUUCGAUGCAACGCGAAGAACCUUACCUGGGUUUGACAUGCACAGGACGCCGGCAGAGAUGUCGGUUCCCUUGUGGCCUGUGUGCAGGUGGUGCAUGGCUGUCGUCAGCUCGUGUCGUGAGAUGUUGGGUUAAGUCCCGCAACGAGCGCAACCCUUGUCUCAUGUUGCCAGCGGGUAAUGCCGGGGACUCGUGAGAGACUGCCGGGGUCAACUCGGAGGAAGGUGGGGAUGACGUCAAGUCAUCAUGCCCCUUAUGUCCAGGGCUUCACACAUGCUACAAUGGCCGGUACAAAGGGCUGCGAUGCCGCGAGGUUAAGCGAAUCCUUUUAAAGCCGGUCUCAGUUCGGAUCGGGGUCUGCAACUCGACCCCGUGAAGUCGGAGUCG
rnacentral:rRNA from 1 species